rnacentral:tRNA from 1 species
GGAUUGUGGCUCAGUGGUAGAGCACUCGCCUAGCAUGAGCGGGACCCGGGUUCGAUCCUCUGCACCA